rnacentral:rRNA from 1 species
AUUGAACGCUGGCGGCGUGCUUAACACAUGCAGUCAACAGAAGUGGCGAACGGGUGAGUAACGCGUAAAGACCUUGCCUCACAGAUAGGGACAACAUUUGGAAACGAAUGCUAAUACCUGAUACUGUGAGAGAGCUUUGCGUCCCAUUAGCUCGUUGGAGAGGUAACGGCUCACCAAGGCGAUGAUGGGUAGCCGGCCUGAGAGGGUGAUCGGCCACAAGGGGACUCGGACACGGCCCUUAUUCCUACGGGGGGCAGCAGUGAGGAAUAUGGGACAAUGGACCAAAGUCUGAUCCAGCAAUUCUGUGUGCACGAUGAAGUUUUCGGAAUGUAAAGUGCUUUCAGUUGGGAAGCAGUACCAACAGAAGAAGUGACGGCUAAAUACGUGCCAGCAGCCGCGGUAAUAC